rnacentral:rRNA from 1 species
AGAGUUUGAUCCUGGCUCAGAUUGAACGCUGGCGGUAUGCUUAACACAUGCAAGUCGAACGGUAACAUUGGAGCUUGCUCCAGAUGACGAGCGGCGGACGGGUGAGUAAUGCAUAGGAAUCUGCCUGGUAGUGGGGGACAACAUGUGGAAACGCAUGCUAAUACCGCAUACGCCCUACGGGGGAAAGGGGGGGAUCUUCGGACCUCUCGCUAUUAGAUGAGCCUAUGUCAGAUUAGCUAGUUGGUGGGGUAAUGGCUCACCAAGGCAACGAUCUGUAGCUGGUCUGAGAGGAUGAUCAGCCACACUGGGACUGAGACACGGCCCAGACUCCUACGGGAGGCAGCAGUGGGGAAUAUUGGACAAUGGGCGAAAGCCUGAUCCAGCAAUACCGCGUGUGUGAAGAAGGCCUGAGGGUUGUAAAGCACUUUCAAUUGGGAGGAAUACCUGCUGAGAUAAUAUCAGGCAGAGGNACAUUACCU